UCAUGUGCAGGAAAACACCUAGUUCAAUAUAUAUACACAAAAUUGAUUGGAAAUGAAUAAAAAAAUCUAAAGGAAAGAUAAUCCUUCUCUGGAAAAAAGACAAGACAAUCCAAGAGGAAACGAGUGUUCCAUAAAAUUGAAGAACAUUAAAUCCGCAUUCUCAACAACAACAACAACAAAAAAACUAAAUAUUCUAACUAAAAUAACAAAAUUAAUAAAAAAAUAUUGUGGAUAAUAAGACUCACACUAGAAAUUUGGUAGUGUUUGUAUUUGUAAAUUCUUUUUAAAAAAAAUAUUUGUGGAGACAAAAAACCUUACAACACAGAGAUGUCGAAGAUCUCAGAAAACAACUUAUUACACCACUAAAAGGAAAAGAGAGGAGAGAAGGAGACAACAGACAACAAACAACAACAAUGAGCGAUUAACUAUAAGAAUCAGUGAACGAAAAGACAAAAGUACAACUCUAGGAGAGAAUGAGCAUCAGUCGGGGAAGGAGAAUGAGAGAGCAUCCUGUCACGAAGCCCCCGGUCCACUUGCUUGAAGAAAGGCCCCGCUGGUAAGGAGACAUCCCUGAAAAUCUGAGCAUUGCGCUCACGCCAAAGGCUAUAUAUCACAGCCUGGAGAAUCAACUUCAUAAUGGGUCUAACCUGAGAUGGUAACUGUCCCUGAUAUUGCGAGAUCAUGUUGACCGCAGCUGGAAGGUCCAAAGGAGGAGCAGAGAUAAACCUUCCACAGUAACGGAUCCAAAUAUCAACGGCGUAAGGACAGCCAAAGAAGAGAUGGUUGCGUGACUAGAUGCCAUUAGCGCAUAAGACACAGUUUCCAGGGACAAAGAGACCCCAAAAAAUCAAGCGAUCCCUAGUUGGGAGCCUGCCAAGCACACACAUCCACGCAAUGAAAGAGCAACGCAGAACUUCUUCCUUGAAUUAAAUUACAUCAUACCAUACUACCUCAGGUGAUGAAAUUCUCAAUAUAUCCUAAGUUAUUUGAGACAAAUUUAUUAGCAAACCCACCAGAUUGAAUUCGCCACAGGUAGGUAUCGGCCACCUUUUCAACCGAUGGAACUGCACUAGAAGAUAAAACAAUUUGUAGGGUGGCUGCAUCCUCAGACCUUGCUGGAGGUAGGAACCAUUCACCAUUCCGGACAGCAUCAGAGACCGAGGCAGAAUCAUGAACCUGCAGCUGCCUAGAACCUGAUGAGAAUAGCAGAUAUAGCAGACCAAGUCUGUCCAAGACCGAGGCAUAUUUUUUAACGGUUGACUAAUUUAAUCUUCAACUUUUUGUAUUUAAUGGCUAGUUGGAAAAUAAAUUUGUCCCCAUAAUACUUGAGUAUUAAAUAUGCCGAUUGCAAACAUUUGAGAAAUAAAAAAUAAUAAUUUUUUCGUUAUGAUC